rnacentral:rRNA from 1 species
GAUGAACGCUGGCGGCGUGCCUAAUACAUGCAAGUCGAGCGAACAGACGAGGAGCUUGCUCCUCUGACGUUAGCGGCGGACGGGUGAGUAACACGUGGAUAACCUACCUAUAAGACUGGGAUAACUUCGGGAAACCGGAGCUAAUACCGGAUAAUAUAUUGAACCGCAUGGUUCAAUAGUGAAAGUCGGUUUUGCUGUCACUUAUAGAUGGAUCCGCGCCGCAUUAGCUAGUUGGUAAGGUAACGGCUUACCAAGGCAACGAUGCGUAGCCGACGUGAGGGACGGAUCGGCCACCCUGGAGCUGAGACGCGGUCCAUACUACUGAGGGACGCAGCAGUCGCCUACCUUACGCAGAGGGCGAGAACAUGACGGAGUGACGGCGAGUCAGUGAUGAAGGCGCUCGGAGCGUGAAGAUCUGUUACUAGGUAAGAACCAAUUUCGCAGUAGCUGAGCAGUUCUUGACGGUACUUGGUCAGAAAGCCACGGCUAACUACGUG